rnacentral:rRNA from 1 species
UGGCGAACGGGUGAGUAACGCGUGAGGAACCUGCCUCAAAGAGGGGGGAAACAGUUGGAAACGACUGCUAAUACCGCAUAAGCCCACGACCCGGCAUCGGGAAGAGGGAAAAGGAGCAAUCCGCUUUGAGAUGGCCUCGCGUCCGAUUAGCUAGUUGGUGGGGUAACGGCCCACCAAGGCAACGAUCGGUAGCCGGACUGAGAGGUUGAACGGCCACAUUGGGACUGAGACACGGCCCAG